UUAAAUUUAAACUAUUUUGGAGUAGUAUAAGUUAAGAUCUCAAAACUUAAAAGAUUUGGCGGUAUUUUAUCUUAUUAGAGGAACUUGUUUAUUUAUUGAUAAUCCACAAUUAUUAUUUACUUUAAUUUAAAAUAUUUGUAUACCGCUGUCAUGAAUAUAUUAAAAAAUUGACUUUCUGUUCGUUAUUAUUUAAUUUAUGUUAGGUCAAGGUGCAGUUUUUUAGAGAUUAAAUGAGUUACUUAAAAAAAAUGGAUGGAGUAUUUAAGAUUUGUUUUAAUAUGAAAAGGGAUUUAAAAGUAAAUGUAUUUAUAAAAAUAAAAUGAAUUGAGAUUCUAAAAUAUGU
rnacentral:rRNA from 1 species